GUAUGAAUGGCUAAAUGAGGGCCCGACUGUCUCCUAUGACCAAUCAAUGAAACUGAUCUCCCAGUACAAAAGCUGGAAUACCCACAUAAGACGAGAAGACCCUGUGGAGCUUAAAAUAUUAGUACUACACACAACCACCAAAACCGCAAGACACACCAUAACAAAAUAGUACACAUUUUUAGUUGGGGCGACUACGGAGACAAACAUAACCUCCAUGACACGGACCACCAACCCACACCAGGUUAACAAACCAACACACCAUUUUGACCCAGUAAGACUGAUCAACGAACCAAGUUACCCCAGGGAUAACAGCGCCAUCCUCUUCAAGAGCUCCUAUCGCCAAGAGGGUUUACGACCUCGAUGUUGGAUCAGGACUUCCAGGUGGUGCAACCGCUACCAAUGGUUCGUUUG
rnacentral:rRNA from 1 species